rnacentral:rRNA from 1 species
GGCCACUGCUAUCAGAGUCCGACUAAGCCAUGGGAGUCAGAGCCGCAAGGCUCGGCGCACUGCUCAGUAACACGUAGUCAACCUACCCUGGGGUCAGGGAUAACACCGGGAAACUGGUGGUAAUACCUGAUAGGUGAAGGGUUCUGGAAGGCCCCUUCACCCAAAGGCUUGCCGCCCCAGGAUGGGACUGCGGCGGAUUAGGUAGUUGGUGGUGUAACGGACCACCAAGCCGAUAAUCCGUACGGGUUGUGAGAGCAAUAGCCCGGAGAUGGACUCUGAGACAUGAGUCCAGGCCCUACGGGGUGCACCAGGCGCGAAACCUUCGCAAUGCGCGAAAGCGUGACGAGGGGACUCUGAGUGGCCUUGCACCGCAGGGCCUUUUGCCGAGUGUGAAAAGGCUCGGCGAAUAAGGGGUGGGCAAGACGGUUGCCAGCCGCCGCGGUAAUAACCGCGCCCCAAGUGGUGGCCACUAUUAUUGGGCCUAAAGCGUCCGUAGCCGGCCCGGAAAGUCUACGGUAAAAGCCCACUGCAAACAGUGGAAUCGCCGUAGAUACUACCGGGCUAGGGACCGGGAGAGGCCGGGGGUACGGCCGGGGUAGGGGUUAAAUCCGUUAAUCCCGGCAGGACCACCUGUGGCGAAGGCGCCCGGCUGGAACGGCUCCGACGGUGAGGGACGAAAGCUGGGGAAGCGAUCGGGAUUAGAUACCCCGGUAGUCCCAGCUGUAACGAUGCCCACUUGGUGUUGGCAACCCUACGGGGGUUGCCAGUGCCGAAGCGAAGGCGAUAAGUGGGCCGCCUGGGGAGUACGGCCGCAAGGCUGAAACUUAAGGGAAUUGGCGGGGGAGCACUACAAGGGGUGGAGGCUGCUGU